rnacentral:rRNA from 1 species
AUACGUGGCAUACGGCUCAGUAACACGUAGUCAACAUGCCCAGGGGACGUGGAUAACCUCGGGAAACUGAGGAUAAACCGCGAUAGGUCAUAAUAUCUGGAAUGAUUUCUGGCUAAAAUCUAUAUGGCCCCUGGAUUGGACUGCGGCCGAUCAGGCUGUUGGUGAGGUAAUGGCCCACCAAACCUAAAACCGGUACGGGCUCUGAGAGGAGAAGCCCGGAGAUGGGCACUGAGACAAGGGCCCAGGCCCUAUGGGGCGCAGCAGGCGCGAAAACUCUGCAAUAAGCGAAAGCUUGACAGGGUUAUUCUGAGUGAUUUCCGCUAAGGAAAUCUUUUGGCACCUCUAAAAAUGGUGCAGAAUAAGGGGUGGGCAAGCCUGGUGUCAGCCGCCGCGGUAAUACCAGCACCCCGAGUGGUCGGGACGAUUAUUGGGCCUAAAGCAUCCGUAGCCGGUUCUACAAGUCUUCCGUUAAAUCCACCUGCUUAACAGAUGGGCUGCGGAGGAUACUAUGGAGCUAGGAGGCGGGAGAGGCAAGCGGUACUUAGUGGGUAGGGGUAAAAUCCGUUGAUCCAUUGAAGACCACCAGUGGCGAAGGCGGCUUGCCAGAACGCACUCGACGGUGAGGGAUGAAAGCUGGGGGAGCAAACCGGAUUAGAUACCCGGGUAGUCCCAGCUGUAA